AAUUUCUACUACUUUUCUGAAGAAGUUAUGAACCAGAAUUCAUUUAUAAGCCUGAAUGCAACGUGCCCCAGAACCUGGAAGAGGGAUCCAGGAACACGCAGAAGGAGUUCCAGGAGCCUUUUAUUUCUUCUUGUUAUGGAGCAGAAAUGGGAAUUCGUAAUUCUCAGAGAUUUUGUUGUUUCAAGUUACAUCUAUUAAUAUUGCCUAUCUCUUA